rnacentral:ncRNA from 1 species
UAGUAGGUGAGUGAUGGGGUGACGCAGGAAGGUAGUCCAUCCCGGGCGGUGGUUGUCCCGGGGUAAGGGUGUAGCCCGUGUGAUAGGUAAAUCCGUCGCACAUGAGGGUGAGACCUGAUGCCGAGCCGAUUGUGGUGAAGUGGAUGAUCCUAUGCUGUCGAGAAAAGCCUCUAGCGAGUUUCAUGGCGGCCCGUACCCUAAACCGACUCAGGUGGUCAGGUAGAGAAUACCGAGGCGUUCGGGUGAACUAUGGUUAAGGAACUCGGCAAAAUGCCCCCGUAACUUCGGGAGAAGGGGGGCCACAUCCGGUGAGGGGACUUGCUCCUCGAGCUGGGGGUGGCCGCAGAGACCAGCGAGAAGCGACUGUUUACUAAAAACACAGGUCCGUGCGAAGCCGUAAGGCGAUGUAUACGGACUGACGCCUGCCCGGUGCUGGAACGUUAAGGGGACCGGUUAGUCCGAUUUCGGUCGGGCGAAGCUGAGAACUUAAGCGCCAGUAAACGGCGGUGGUAACUAUAACCAUCCUAAGGUAGCGAAAUUCCUUGUCGGGUAAGUUCCGACCUGCACGAAUGGCGUAACGACUUCUCGACUGUCUCAACCAUAGGCCCGGUGAAAUUGCACUACGAGUAAAGAUGCUCGUUUCGCGCAGCAGGACGGAAAGACCCCGGGACCUUUACUACAGUUUGAUAUUGGUGUUCGGUUCGGCUUGUGUAGGAUAGCUGGGAGACUGUGAAGCUUGGACGCCAGUUCAGGUGGAGUCGUCGUUGAAAUACCAGUCUGGUCGUGCUGGAUGUCUAACCUGGGUCCGUGAUCCGGAUCAGGGACAGUGUCUGAUGGGUAGUUUAACUGGGGCGGUUGCCUCCUAAAGAGUAACGGAGGCGCCCAAAGGUUCCCUCAGCCUGGUUGGCAAUCAGGUGUUGAGUGUAAGUGCACAAGGGAGCUUGACUGUGAGACCGACGGGUCGAGCAGGGACGAAAGUCGGGACUAGUGAUCCGGCGGUGGCUUGUGGAAGCGCCGUCGCUCAACGGAUAAAAGGUACCCCGGGGAUAACAGGCUGAUCUUCCCCAAGAGUCCAUAUCGACGGGAUGGUUUGGCACCUCGAUGUCGGCUCGUCGCAUCCUGGGGCUGGAGUCGGUCCCAAGGGUUGGGCUGUUCGCCCAUUAAAGCGGUACGCGAGCUGGGUUUAGAACGUCGUGAGACAGUUCGGUCCCUAUCCGCUGCGCGCGCAGGAAUAUUGAGAAGGGCUGUCCCUAGUACGAGAGGACCGGGACGGACGAACCUCUGGUGUGCCAGUUGUCCUGCCAAGGGCAUGGCUGGUUGGCUACGUUCGGGAGGGAUAACCGCUGAAAGCAUCUAAGCGGGAAGCCUGCUUCGAGAUGAGUAUUCCCACCCACUUGAUGGGGUAAGGCUCCCAGUAGACGACUGGGUUGAUAGGCCGGAUCUGGAAGCACGGUAACGUGUGGAGGUGACCGGUACUAAUAGGCCGAGGGCUUGUCCUC